GCCUGUGUGUUAUUUUAUGUGAGUGUGAUGUAAUCUUAGCAUCCAGUAAAUAAAGUCCCAUAUCAGCUAAAAUGCAGCGUGACAAAGUCAUUAAAGUGCGUCAACACAGUGGAUUUAAUAGUUUUAAAGAACAAUCUCUGAGUGAAGUGAGGUUAGUUUUUUGUCUCACUGCAGAUAUAAAAACGAACUCUGCAUCAGUCAGACGCAGCAAAGCUCACCGUCUGUAUGAGCGUGAGCAUCGGAAAGCUGAUCAAAUCAGCUGUAAAAUAAUUAAAACAACAGUAAAAAUGCUCCUUUGCUUUUUAGAGUCCACAUCCAGAAGUCUGGAGCCGUGUUUCACUGACAGGCUGUCAGACUAAAGCCCUGAUGAGCUCAGCUGGGACAAACUGGUCUGAUGUUUAGGAACACAGAACGCUCAGAUGUUGGAGCUCACGUCACCUACUGAGGAAGGAGACCCACCAGUAAAGAGACGGUCUGGACCAGACCAAAAAUAUGGCGAUGACAUCAUGGAACUGGUCUUUGGAAAAGUUUUCCCUGAACCAACUCCGUUUCUAGAUGAGGUAGAGAAGAUCUGCAUCUCACCAACUCUCUGGUCUCAGUAUUCAGACAACGGAGGUCUCCCACUGUUAUCCAGGACCAGUUUGAAGCCCACAUACUUCCCCUCCCUCAUCAUCAGGAAACAUCAAUCCGUAUCCUGAGGACAACAGAAGACGGCAGGAGGACAGGAACUCUGAGACCUAGAUACCACAGCACCGGGACACAAAGCACCUGUGUGCACAA